AGAGUUUGAUCCUGGCUCAGGACGAACGCUGGCGGCACGCUUAACACAUGCAAGUCGAACGAGAGAAGAGGAGCUUGCUUUUCUGAUCUAGUGGCGGACGGGUGAGUAACACGUGAGCAAUCUGCCUUUCAGAGGGGGAUACCGAUUGGAAACGAUCGUUAAUACCGCAUAACAUAAUUGAACCGCAUGAUUUGAUUAUCAAAGAUUUAUCGCUGAAAGAUGAGCUCGCGUCUGAUUAGCUAGUUGGUAAGGUAACGGCUUACCAAGGCGACGAUCAGUAGCCGGACUGAGAGGUUGAUCGGCCACAUUGGGACUGAGACACGGCCCAGACUCCUACGGGAGGCAGCAGUGGGGAAUAUUGCACAAUGGAGGAAACUCUGAUGCAGCGAUGCCGCGUGAGGGAAGAAGGUUUUAGGAUUGUAAACCUCUGUCUUCAGGGACGAAAAAAGACGGUACCUGAGGAGGAAGCUCCGGCUAACUACGUGCCAGCAGCCGCGGUAAUACGUAGGGAGCGAGCGUUGUCCGGAAUUACUGGGUGUAAAGGGAGGGUAGGCGGGAUCGCAAGUCAGAUGUGAAAACUAUGGGCUUAACCCAUAAACUGCAUUUGAAACUGUGGUUCUUGAGUGAAGUAGAGGUAAGCGGAAUUCCUAGUGUAGCGGUGAAAUGCGUAGAUAUUAGGAGGAACAUCAGUGGCGAAGGCGGCUUACUGGGCUUUAACUGACGCUGAGGCUCGAAAGCGUGGGGAGCAGACAGGAUUAGAUACCCUGGUAGUCCACGCCGUAAACGAUGAUUACUAGGUGUGGGGGGACUGACCCCUUCCGUGCCGCAGCAAACGCAAUAAGUAAUCCACCUGGGGAGUACGACCGCGAGGUUGAAACUCAAAGGAAUUGACGGGGGCCCGCACAAGCAGUGGAGUAUGUGGAUUAAUUCGAAGCAACGCGAAGAACCUUACCAGGUCUUGACAUCGUAUGCAUAGCUCAGAGAUGAGUGAAAUCUCUUCGGAGACAUAUAGACAGGUGGUGCAUGGUUGUCGUCAGCUCGUGUCGUGAGAUGUUGGGUUAAGUCCCGCAACGAGCGCAACCCUUACUGUUAGUUGCUACGCAAGAGCACUCUAGCAGGACUGCCGUUGACAAAACGGAGGAAGGUGGGGAUGACGUCAAAUCAUCAUGCCCCUUAUGACCUGGGCCUCACACGUACUACAAUGGCUGUCAACAGAGGGAAGCAAAGCCGCGAGGUGGAGCGAACCCCUAAAAGCAGUCUUAGUUCGGAUUGUAGGCUGCAACCCGCCUACAUGAAGUCGGAAUUGCUAGUAAUCGCAGAUCAGCAUGCUGCGGUGAAUACGUUCCCGGGCCUUG
rnacentral:rRNA from 1 species